GAUGAACGCUGGCGGCGUGCCUAAUACAUGCAAGUCGAGCGAACGGACGAGAAGCUUGCUUCUCUGAUGUUAGCGGCGGACGGGUGAGUAACACGUGGAUAACCUACCUAUAAGACUGGGAUAACUUCGGGAAACCGGAGCUAAUACCGGAUAAUAUUUUGAACCGCAUGGUUCAAAGGUGAAAGACGGUCUUGCUGUCACUUAUAGAUGGAUCCGCGCUGCAUUAGCUAGUUGGUAAGGUAACGGCUUACCAAGGCAACGAUGCAUAGCCGACCUGAGAGGGUGAUCGGCCACACUGGAACUGAGACACGGUCCAGACUCCUACGGGAGGCAGCAGUAGGGAAUCUUCCGCAAUGGGCGAAAGCCUGACGGAGCAACGCCGCGUGAGUGAUGAAGGUCUUCGGAUCGUAAAACUCUGUUAUUAGGGAAGAACAUAUGUGUAAGUAACUGUGCGCAUCUUGACGGUACCUAAUCAGAAAGCCACGGCUAACUACGUG
rnacentral:rRNA from 1 species